GUUGAUGAUGAUACCCUUGAAUAGGAAGUGCCGUCAGAUGCGAGAACUGACGAUAACCUUCUUAUUUGUCUGAAA
ensembl:snoRNA SNORD49A small nucleolar RNA, C/D box 49A